rnacentral:rRNA from 1 species
GAUGAACGCUGGCGGCGUGCCUAAUACAUGCAAGUCGAGCGAACAGACGAGGAGCUUGCUCCUCUGACGUUAGCGGCGGACGGGUGAGUAACACGUGGAUAACCUACCUAUAAGACUGGGAUAACUUCGGGAAACCGGAGCUAAUACCGGAUAAUAUAUUGAACCGCAUGGUUCAAUAGUGAAAGACGGUUUUGCUGUCACUUAUAGAUGGAUCCGCGCCGCAUUAGCUAGUUGGUAAGGUAACGGCUUACCAAGGCAACGAUGCGUAGCCGACCUGAGAGGGUGAGCGGCCACACUGGAACUGAGACACGGUCCAGACUCCUACGGGAGGCAGCAGUAGGGAAUCUUCCGCAAUGAGCGAAAGCCUGACGGAGCAACGCCGCGUGAGUGAUGAAGGUCUUCGGAUCGUAAAACUCUGCUAUUAGGGAAGAACAAAUGUGUAAGUAACUAUGCACGUCUUGACGGUACCUAAUCAGAAAGCCACGGCUAACUACGUG